GCCAGGCGUGGUAGUGCACGCCUGUAAUCCCAGCACUUUGGGAGGCUGAGGCAGGUGGAUCACUUGAGGUCAGGAGUUAAGAGACCAGCCUGGCCAACAUGGUGAAACCCUGUCUCUA
rnacentral:SRP_RNA from 2 species